AUGAACUCGUAUGUUUCCACUCAACUUAAGGAGUGUAAGAAGCUACCACUGAAACUGAUGGGGGUAACCAUGUGGUUACAGGCAAAUGAGCACUCACCAUGUGGAUAUACGUCUGUGGCUGCCAACAUGUUACAGGAGCUUGGAGAGAAGUUGAAGCUCCUUACAAGUAUGAGACUGGUUUCCCUCAGGGACUUAUGAAUGCUAACCUGUAGCUGGAGAGAACUCGCUGAGAGGGCUGAUUACCGUAAAUGGCACCAGAAGUCACUAGGGUACAAAAGUAUGAGGUCCAGGAGAAGCCAGGCCUUAGAGAAGAUUAAGAGUGGUGCUCCAGGGUUCAAAUGUACAGAGUAUGAAACCACUGCCAUCAGAAAAGAACGACACAUGAAAAGCUUUGCUCUACCAGCCUGUGCUACAAAGGAAAAAUGAAAACCUGAGACAGCAUCAAACAUGCCUGUAGGAAGUAAAGAGAAGAGCAAACAUCCAAGGUGAAAGAAGUGGAGUUUGACAAACCAAUUAUUUUCUGGCAUUAUGGUGAUCACAGAGAAGAAACUUUCUCCAAGACAUGGAAAGUUCAGGCUGCCAUGACUGUCACACCAGAGCUGACAUAUGGCAAACUUCAGAUCCCAGUGGUCAAGAAAGCAGGCAGAGGACAAAGAAGAGUGCACUGUGGGUUGAAUGAUGG